GUGAACGUCGAUCGAUCAGAAGAGUCGAUUACACGCCGCUGCUUGCCGUUACUUUCAACACAAUUCUUCGCUUAAAUGAAAAAUUCCUCUGUUGCCACCCGGCGAGAAAAAAUGGCCAAAGGUUGAUAGAAGCUCGCAGAGGAGCAUCGGUGUUGCGGCAUUAAAAUUCUCCCAGCUCGCGAGGAAGAUUAAACGGCUGGAAAGUUGCUUCGUUGCGCGUGAAUGAAAUUGUUUCUGCGGAGAAUAAUUAAUUAUGAAUAAUUCCGUACGAUCUCGGAAACAUUGAUAUAGUCACCGACUUAAAGGCGUAAUAAAAUAUAUCAGAAAAUGUAUAAACAAGCUUACAUUAUAUGCAGAAGCAAACAAUAAUACAAGAAAAUUGGCUCUUAGCCUGUUAAAAACCACGAAGGAAGGUUGGUGCACGUUGUGCACCAACGUGAGCCGUAAGGCGACAAAUCCAUUAAUAUUCCUCAGGCUACGUGGUACGUAAACGAGGAUCGUCCUUGAUCGAACAGCCUGAUGGCAGGCAGCGUGCAGGCUGUGCAUCAUCUGCUCGAGACAAGACUAUUGUAUAGUGCGCGCAACAUUCUCCCAGUAUUUCAUCGAUACACGUUCGAUUCGAAACAUCGAUAAACAACUCGUUCCGCGAACUUGAAACUGGAAGUGUAAUUUAAAACGGCAAAGUAAAACAUAAUCCUUGAAACACGAAACUAUAUUUCUCUGGAUACGCUUGAAACUUUUAUGAUACGUACCUGAUCCAGCGAACUUUGUGUCAACGUGUAGUCCGUGGCUUUCAGUUCCUCGGCCAACAGUUUCAGCUUAUUAAAGCUGCUGCUCACCAGCAUGUCCUGACUUCGUGGUACCAGCAGACGAGCUGCGCUGGCUUGUCUCGAAGAGACCACAGCCCGCGGGAAAUACUUUAGAACAGCUUUCCUUAGAUCCGCGGAUGAAAUCGGUUGCCGGAAUCGUAGAAACGCUACGUAACCUUCGCCAAAUCUACGAACAAAAGUGCAAACGAACAAGACAAUAAGUCCGAGGCUAAAGUAAAUGAUUAAAUAUUCGAAAGACGUUGUUCAAACGAAACGCACAUCGAUCACCGAUACCGAAGAUCCCAUUGACGGCAACGAGAUUCAAAUACUCAAACUUGUCUUUUAACAAACAGGAUUAAAGGCGAGAAGGAAAUGAGAGCAAGAGGAACGUACACGGGCGAGAUGGAAA